UACGAAGGGGGCUAGCGUUGCUCGGAAUCACUGGGCGUAAAGAGCGUGUAGGCGGCCAAACAGGUCAGCUGUGAAAACUCGAGGCUCAACCUCGAGACGUCGGUUGAAACCGUUUGGCUAGAGUCCGGAAGAGGAGAGUGGAAUUCCCGGUGUAGCGGUGAAAUGCGCAGAUAUCGGGAAGAACACCCGUGGCGAAGGCGGCUCUCUGGGACGGUACUGACGCUGAGACGCGAAAGCGUGGGGAGCGAACAGG
rnacentral:rRNA from 1 species